rnacentral:RNase_P_RNA from 1 species
CCAGACGGUUGGACGGCCGCUGUUCUGCCUUUCGGGGCAGGAUGGAGGAAAGUCCGGGCUCCACGGAAAUACGGUGCCGGCUAACGGCCGGCGGGGGCGACCCCAGGGACAGUGCCACAGAAAGCAAACCGCCUGUGCAAGGCGCAAGCCUUCCACGGGCAAGGGUGAAAGGGUGCGGUAAGAGCGCACCGCCGCUCCGGUAACGGCGCGGGCAGGGUAAACCCCACCGGGAGCAAGACCGAAUAGGGGUGGCCGGCGGCGUAUCAUGGCAACAUGAUGCGUGACGCGAGGGCAUUUCCGCCCCGUCGCCCGGGUUGGUCGCGUGAGGCGCUCUGCGAAGGGCGUCCCAGAGGAAUGGCCGUCCAAGGCCGCGCAAGCGGCCCGGACAGAACCCGGCUUACAGACCGUCUGGCAAU